rnacentral:rRNA from 1 species
AGAGUUUGAUCAUGGCUCAGAACGAACGCUGGCGGCGUGCUUAACACAUGCAAAGUCGAACGCGAAAAGGGACUUCGGGUCCCGAGUAGAGUGGCGCACGGGUGAGUAACGCGUAAGUAAUCUACCCCUGUAUCUGGAAUAACCCACCGAAAGGUGAGCUAAUACCGGAUACGUUUAUCUUGAUGCGAAUGAUGAUAAAGAAAGGUGGCCUCUUCAUGAAAGCUACUGUACAGGGACGAGCUUGCGUACCAUUAGCUAGUUGGUAGGGUAAUGGCCUACCAAGGCGACGAUGGUUAGCGGGUCUGAGAGGAUGAUCCGCCACACUGGAACUGGAACACGGACCAGACUCCUACGGGAGGCAGCAGUGAGGAAUUUUGCGCAAUGGGGGCAACCCUGACGCAGCAACGCCGCGUGAGUGAUGAAGGCCUUUGGGUCGUAAAACUCUGUCAGCAGGAAAGAAGUUAUAUAUGGUUAAUACCAUAUAUAUUGACGGUACCUGCAAAGGAAGCACCGGCUAACUCCGUGCCAGCCGCCGCGGUAAUA